UCUGGUAAUGAUGGCAGAGAGGUCACACCCGUUCCCAUACCGAACACGGAAGUUAAGCUCUCUAGCGCCGAUGGUAGUUGGGACCUUGUCCCUGUGAGCCUGUGAGAGUAGGACGUUGCCAGGC
rnacentral:rRNA from 1 species